rnacentral:rRNA from 1 species
CUGGCUCAGGAUGAACGCUGGCGGCGUGCUUAACACAUGCAAGUCGAACGGGAUCCAYCAGCUUGCUGGUGGUGAGAGUGGCGAACGGGUGAGUAAUGCGUGACCGACCUGCCCCAUGCUCCGGAAUAGCUCCUGGAAACGGGUGGUAAUGCCGGAUGUUCCAGUUGAUCGCAUGGUCUUCUGGGAAAGCUUUCGCGGCGUGGGAUGGGGUCGCGUCCUAUCAGCUUGACGGCGGGGUAACGGCCCACCGUGGCUUCGACGGGUAGCCGGCCUGAGAGGGCGACCGGCCACAUUGGGACUGAGAUACGGCCCAGACUCCUACGGGAGGCAGCAGUGGGGAAUAUUGCACAAUGGGCGCAAGCCUGAUGCAGCGACGCCGCGUGAGGGAUGGAGGCCUUCGGGUUGUAAACCUCUUUUGUCAGGGAGCAAGCGUGAGUGAGUGUACCUGUCGAAUAAGCGCCGGCUAACUACGUGCCAGCAGCCGCGGUAAUACGUAGGGCGCAAGCGUUAUCCGGAAUUAUUGGGCGUAAAGGGCUCGUAGGCGGUUCGUCGCGUCCGGUGUGAAAGUCCAUCGCUUAACGGUGGAUCCGCGCCGGGUACGGGCGGGCUUGAGUGCGGUAGGGGAGACUGGAAUUCCCGGUGUAACGGUGGAAUGUGUAGAUAUCGGGAAGAACACCAAUGGCGAAGGCAGGUCUCUGGGCCGUUACUGACGCUGAGGAGCGAAAGCGUGGGGAGCGAACAGGAUUAGAUACCCUGGUAGUCCACGCCGUAAACGGUGGAUGCUGGAUGUGGGGCACGUUCCACGUGUUCCGUGUCGGAGCCAACGCGUUAAGCAUCCCGCCUGGGGAGUACGGCCGCAAGGCUAAAACUCAAAGAAAUUGACGGGGGCCCGCACAAGCGGCGGAGCAUGCGGAUUAAUUCGAUGCAACGCGAAGAACCUUACCUGGGCUUGACAUGUUCCCGACGACSCCAGAGAUGKSGUUUCCCUUCGGGGCGGGUUCACAGGUGGUGCAUGGUCGUCGUCAGCUCGUGUCGUGAGAUGUUGGGUUAAGUCCCGCAACGAGCGCAACCCUCGCCUUAUGUUGCCAGC